rnacentral:misc_RNA from 1 species
AAGUCGUAACAAGGUUUCCGUAGGUGAACCUGCGGAAGGAUCAUUAACAAUGCAUCCAUCAUCUUUUCUUGAUCGUGACGUCCCAUCUCAGCUUAUCCGUGAGGCCGUGCCUUUGCUGGCCGGUCUGACGGGCAACCUCGCUCUCUGUUCGCAGCAUCUCAAAUUUUCAACCAUUGUUAUCUAAAUCAAAUACAACUUUCAACAACGGAUCUCUUGGCUCUC